CACUGCCGAGAAAAGCCUCUAGAUAGAAAAUAGGUGCCCGUACCGCAAACCGACACAGGUAGUCAAGAUGAGAAUUCUAAGGUGAGCGAGCGAACUCUCGUUAAGGAACUCGGCAAAAUGACCCCGUAACUUCGGGAGAAGGGGUGCUCUUUAGGGUUAACGCCCAGAAGAGCCGCAGUGAAUAGGCCCAAGCGACUGUUUAUCAAAAACACAGGUCUCUGCUAAACCGUAAGGUGAUGUAUAGGGGCUGACGCCUGCCCGGUGCUGGAAGGUUAAGAGGAGUGGUUAGCUUCUGCGAAGCUACGAAUCGAAGCCCCAGUAAACGGCGGCCGUAACUAUAACGGUCCUAAGGUAGCGAAAUUCCUUGUCGGGUAAGUUCCGACCCGCACGAAAGGCGUAACGAUUUGGGCACUGUCUCAACGAGAGACUCGGUGAAAUCAUAGUACCUG
rnacentral:rRNA from 1 species